UUCCUUCUGUAAUAAAGUUGAUGAUGAUGAUUAUUUCUUAGCAAAGUUGUUCAAUAGAAAUAUUAUCAUCGCAUUGUUUAUGAGUUAUAUGCAUUAUUUCCAUUUCUGCCCAACGGUGAUAUGGAAUUAAUGUAGAAGGAUGAUGUUUUAUUCUAAGUCUGCCACAACGGUGAUUUAGAAUAUAAAAGAAAGUUUUAAAAGGUUUAAUGUGCAUAAUUUUUAACCAGACCAACGUAGGGUUAUUUUUCAUUCUCAUUAUUGUUGUUUAUUGGCUAAGUUUUCUCAGACUAAAAGUUUUCCAUGCUUUCAUUCAGGAAAGCGAAUGGUUGGGUACUUGUGACCUGAAAGAUGAACGAGAAAGGUCACAACAUGCGGGAGUACGUUCUCUCUAAAGAAUGGCUUCAAAAGAAAA
rnacentral:lncRNA from 1 species